rnacentral:rRNA from 1 species
UACGGAAGGCAGCAGUGGGGAAUAUUGCACAAUGGGCGCAAGCCUGAUGCAGUCAUGCCGCGUGUAUGAAAAAGGCCUUCGGGUUGUAAAGUACUUUCAGUCGUGAGGAAGGUGUUAAGGUUAAUAACCUUAGCAAUUGACGUUAGCGACAGAAGAAGCACCGGCUAACUCCGUGCCAGCAGCCGCGGUAAUACGGAGGGUGCGAGCGUUAAUCGGAAUUACUGGGCGUAAAGGGCACGCAGGCGGUUAAUUAAGUUGGAUGUGAAAUCCCCGGGCUCAACCUGGGAAUGGCAUUCAAGACUGGUUAGCUAGAGUCUUGUAGAGGGGGUAGAAUUCCAUGUGUAGCGGUGAAAUGCGUAGAGAUGUGGAGGAAUACCGGUGGCGAAGGCGGCCCCUGGACAAAGACUGACGCUCAUGUGCGAAAGCGUGGGGAGCAAACAGGGAUUAGAUACC